AACGAACGCUGGCGGCAGGCUUAACACAUGCAAGUCGAGCGCCCCGCAAGGGGAGCGGCAGACGGGUGAGUAACGCGUGGGAAUCUACCCAUCUCUACGGAAUAACGCAUGGAAACGUGUGCUAAUACCGUAUACGUCCUUCGGGAGAAAGAUUUAUCGGAGUUGGAUGAGACCGCGUUGGAUUAGGUAGUUUGUGGGGUAAAGGCCUACCAAGGCGACGAUCCAUAGCUGGUCUGAGAGGAUGAUCAGCCACACUGGGACUGAGACACGGCCCAGACUCCUACGGGAGGCAGCAGUGGGGAAUAUUGGACAAUGAGCGCAAGCCUGAUCCAGCCAUGCCGCGUGAGUGAUGAAGGCCCUAGGGUUGUAAAGCUCUUUCACCGGUGAAGAUAAUGACGGUAACCGGAGAAGAAGCCCCGGCUAACUUCGUGCCAGCCGCCGCAGUAAAAC
rnacentral:rRNA from 1 species